AGGGAGCACAAGGAAGGAGAAAGGUAAAGAGAGUGGGAGAACAAACUCCGCACUGAGCAGGGAGCCUGACAUGGGGCUUAAUCCCAGGACCCCAGGACAUGACCUGAGUUAAAGGGAGACACUUAACUGACUAAGCCACCCAGGCACUCCUGCAUCUAGGAGCUGGAUGCAGAAGAGGACAAGACUGGAGGACCUACUUCCCACACCUCCACCAUUCUCAGGUUCAUCCUAAUCUGAGCAGAGAAAAGAUUGAAGCCCUUCUGAUGACCCAUGGAAUCCCAGACCUCUUGGAACGAAGGCAGCAAGUAGGAGGUGACAACAUUUAGACACUGGUUCAAGAGGCAGAGGGCCUAGAAAGGCUCUUGCACAAGCUCUCUCUCCCUCUCUUUUUGUC
rnacentral:lncRNA from 1 species